ACACACUGACACGUGUACUGUUCAAACGGUGUUGGUGACAAAACUAACAGAAAGGACUAACUUGAAACAUAAAAUAAACGUAAAGGACCAAAUUGAUACUUUUUAAACGUUAGAGACCAAAUUGAAACCUAAAAUAAACGUAAGGGACCAAAUGUGUAGUUAAACCAAAAAAUUAAUAUCCUUAGAAUUAAUUAUUAUUUUUAACUAGAUUAAAGAGCCUUGCGAAUGCACGGGUCAUUAAAUUUUAUUCGAUAGCAAAAACUAAUUUAAGAGUUUUAACCAUAUUGUUUUUCAUUUCGUAUAUAACAUUUAAAAUAUGAUUUCAUCAUUUUAUAGUGUAUAAUGAUCAUCAAAUGUUAAAAAUAAUUUAAUAUUUUUAGCUCUUUGAUUUACCAAUUCUUGUAUUUGCCCUUUUUUUUAUGGGCAAACCAAUUAUUUUUUGUAUAUGCCACUUCAGAACACUAAGUAGUAAAUAUAUCUUCGGUUGAUCAAUGUGUUGAUUUUGUCCCUUGCCAUAUUGUUUUUCAUUUCGUAUAUAACAUAUAAAAUAUGAUCUCAUCAUUUUAUAGUGUAUAAUACUCAUCAAAUGUUAAAAAUAAUUUAAUAUUUUUAGCACAUCGAUUUACCAAUUCUUGNNNNNNNNNNNNNNNCCAAAUAUCUUUUGUAUUUGCCUAUUCAUAACACUAAGUAAAUAUCUCUUCGGUUGAUCAAUGUGUUCAGUUUGUCCCUUAAACACACUUAUCCAUUGAGUAAAAAUAAAAUUAGGCUUAACUAUACAUUUGGUCCCUUACGUUUAUUUUAGGUUUCAAUUUGGUCCCUUACGUUUAAAAAGUAUCAAUUUGGUCCCUUACAUUUAUUUUAGGUUUCAAGUUAGUCUUUUCCGUCAAUUUUGUCACAUGUGGCAGCCAAUUUGCAUAUGUGGACAGACACGUGGCACUUAGACACACUGACACGUGUACUGUUCAAACGGUGUUGGUGACAAAACUAACACAAAGGACUAACUUGAAACAUAAAAUAAACGUAAAGGACCAAAUUGAUACUUUUUAAACGUAAGAGACCAAAUUGAAACCUAAAAUAAACGUAAGAGACCAAAUGUGUAGUUAAACCAAAAAAUUAAUAUCCUUAGAAUUAAUUAUUAUUUUUAACUAGAUUAAAGAGCUUUACGAAUGCACGGGUCAUUAAAUUUUAUUCGAUAACAGAAACUAAUUUAAGAGUUUUAACCAUAUUGUUU
rnacentral:lncRNA from 1 species